CUAUUUUUGUUUCUUACUAGAACAAAUGCGCGCACAGCAGUUUCUUCCCACCUGGAUAUAUAUUGUGUUUUAGUGAGUCAUUUUCAUGUAAUACAUGUAAGCUAUCCCUGAGAAAAUGAAGAGCUAUUUUCCGGAAGGUUUUAUAUGGUAGUCAGGUUAUGAAGGCAUGUAAGUAUAGUUUUUCAGGAAGAAGACAUUUCAGCUUAUGUCAUCUAAAUAUGAAACUAGUAAGCUCGUUAUGGCUAUUCGCCUGUGUUAUGUGCUUGCACGCCUCAUUUCACGCAAGGAAACAAAGUCGGUGCAUGGAGCCGCCAGUCGCUGGCUCCUGUCGAAAUUUUGUUGUCGCCUGGUAUUACGAUUAUAGGAAACAAUACUGCAAAAUUUUCCUCUAUGGAGGCUGUGGCGGCAACGAAAACAAGUUCUCCUCUGAAAUGAGCUGCCAGCAAGUGUGCCUGCCGGAAAAGGUUCCAAAACGAUACUGUGGUGCUCAGCCAAUACUUUCGCCAUGCGCCGGCGGUACGCAGGAUUGGUAUUUUCAUCCUCAUCGAAGGAUCUGCCUCCCAUAUCCUACUGGUCGCUGCGGAAAAAAAGAAAACAACACGUUUAAAUCAUGUGUUGAAUGCAUGAACAGAUGCACUGAUAGAAACUCCGAGAAAGUAUGUAAAAUGAUAAAACAACGGAUUUGGUCGAAACAACGAAACCAGAAAAACCAAACAAGGAUGGGUAAAUUCUAGUAACUAGCCACGUCAGCGGCUCUACCAGACAACAACAGAGACCAAAAAUUGUGCCUUUGGUGAGAAAGUACAGGCGUUUUCUUCAGUGUAUAAGCAGCGUGAAGAUGUGUGCUGUAUUUUAAUAACACGAAUAUAUCUGACGUGGUCAGUUUCCUGCAAACCAUAUUAUUGGUGGAUGGAGCUCCAGAUUCCACGACAGGCUAUAUAAAGAUUUAUAAAAUUCGAGGACGAUCAUCAUAAAAUAGACAGCACAAUGUGCCAAUGGCCUGGAUCAUAUUAAAACACAUUGCUGAAAUCGCUCUAAGAAUGGUGAACGCCGGUUUUAAAAAAUAGGUCAUUGAUAAAAUUGAAAAGCAUAUUUAAUUCCACCGCAAAAAAAAACUUCUUGCUGUGUAUUGGAACUUGUUGAGAGUGUCUAACUUUAUAUCAUUUUAGGAAUUUUUUUUCUGUU
rnacentral:lncRNA from 1 species